UUUUUUUUUUCAUGGCUGAAUAAUAUUCCCUUGUAUAUAGAUACUACAAUUUCUUUAUCCAUUCAUCCAUCAAUGGACACUUAGGUUGUUUCUAUAUCUUGGCUAUUGUAAAUAGUGCUGCAAUGAACAUGGGGGUGCACAUAUCUUUUCAAGAUGGUGUUUUCGUUUUCUUCAGACGGAUAAAUAUGACUAAGUGGAAUUGCUGGUUGUAUGGUAGUUCUAUUUAUUUAUUUAUUUUUUAGCUUGGUGAGGAAAAUUGGCCCUGAGCUAACAUCCAAUGCCAACCUUCCCCCUUUUUUUUGCCUGAGGAAGACUGCCACCGAACUAAGAUCUAUGCUGAUCUUCCUCUAUUUUGUGUGGGAUGCUGCCACAUCAUGGCUUGACAAGCAGUGCUAGGCCCGUGCCUGGGACCUGAACCUGUGAACCCUGGGCCACCAAAGGAGAGCAUGUGAACUUAACCACUACGCCAUUGGGCCAGCCCCUAUUUUUAAUUUUUUGAGGAACGUCCAUACUGUUUUCCAUAGUGGCUACACCAAUUUACAUUCUCACCAACAGUGCACAGGGUUCCCUUUUCUCUACAUCCUCACCAACACUUGUUAUUUCUUGUCUUCCUGGUUUAUUUCUAAAGGCCAGAUUUUAAUAUGAAGUAUUGAAUUUCUCAAGAGCAAAGAUCUUUACAGACACAUUCUAAAGCCAAACACAUAUAUUUUUUAAAAAAUUAUUAGGAAUACUUAACCCCUUAUCACUAAGAGAUCAAUUAAGUUCAUUUUUUAAAAUCUCUUAUUUCAGAGAAUUCAUUCAACUAGUGAUUUUGAGCUACAAGAGACUUCAAGCUGUCUACGGGCCAAACUUCAGAUUUUAUAGGCAAGCAAGAAUUUAAACAGCCAAAAGACCAACAAGCACACGAAAAGGUUCUAAACAUCAUUAGACACAGGUAAAUGAAUAUUUAAGCCACAAUUAGAUCUUCCUAAAUCUCCACAAAAAUGGCUAAAAUUAAAAGGACUAACAAUACUAAGUGCUGAUAAGGAAGAGCAACCUGAACUACAUUGCUGUAGGAUUCUAAACCGGUCCAGUCAACUACUGGGGAAACCUAUUUGGCAGUAUCUACUAAAGCUACACACACACAUUCCCUAUAACCCAGCCAUUCCACUUCUGGGUGUGUACCAAAGGUGCCUAAGAAACAUGUACUAAAAUUAUCACGGCAAGACUUUAUAAUUAGUGAAAACACUGUAAACAAUCUGAAUGUCCACCCACAGCAGAAUGGCUAAAUAAAUCAUGGUAUAUUUCAUACAAUGACUACAUAGCAAUGAAAAAGAAGAAACUAAUCAAUUAUGUGUUUGGCAAAAGAAACGAGACACAAGAGUGCAUACUGUAUCAUCCCAUUUAUAUGAAGUUCAGUAACAGGCAUAACUAAUUCAUUGAAAGACAGAAGUCAGAAUAUCGUUUUGGGGGGUGGCGGUAGAGCGACGAGGCAGCCUUCUGAGACACUGGGAACGUUCUGUAUGUUGAUCUCAACAGUAGUUAUACAGAUGUGCACAUUUGUAAAAAUUCAUCAAGCUACACACUUAAGAUCUGUGGACUUGACAGUAUGCAAGUUAUAUAUUAUAGGAGGUAAGCCAGUCAAAAGAUAAUGUCAAACUUCCCCUGGGAGCCUAAGGCACUGGUUCUUAAAGUGUGGUCCACUGAGACCUUUCAGGAGAUUCAAGAGAUCAAAAUUAUUUUCAUAAUAAGAUGUUAUUUGCCAUUGUUGCUGUCAUUCUCUCUCAGGCAUACUGUAGAGUUCUUCCAGAGGCUACAUGAUGUAUUAUAUCACAACAGAUUGAAGGCAGAAGCAUAUACAGAAUCCAGCUGUCUUCGAUUAAGCCAGAUAUAGAUAUUUGCAAAAAUAAUGCCACUCUUCUAAUUUUUGCUUUGGAAAAGUUAUUUUCUGUAAAAGUAUUAUUUACAUUAACAUGCAGUUAGUUUUGUUAUUUUUAAAUGCAGACACAAAUUUCUAAAAUGCUUCCACUUUAAUUUUUAAUAUAGUAAAUAUCAACGAAUAUAACCCCACAUAAACAAAAGCUCUUUGGGGUUCUCAAUAAUUAUAAAGGGGUCCUCAGACCAGUAAGUUUGAGAAAGGCUGGCCUAAUGACAGACGAUAAAAGCAGUAAGCUUCUUUUGCUACUUGUCUUACAGUGAUGAAAAAGUAGGUAUCAACAUUUUCUCUGAAACCAUCUGUGCCAGACGAAAUCACUGCUACUAUAUUUAUCUGCAUACUUUCAUCCUCAAUUCAGAAAAAACAACUUCCCCUGAAUAUUAUUUUCCCUAGCAAGCUACAUCACUUUUUAACAGCAGUAAGUUAUUAAAGCUUAAACUAGACCUCAGAUGAACACUUAACCAAACUUUAAGCUGCUCUGUCAGCAGAGAAAGUCUGUGGUCUCUAAAUUCACACUACAAGCACAAUUAACCCACAGGACUCUCAAUAAAAUAAAGCCCUCCAGACAGACAGACACAAAAGAAAAACAAGGGAGAGGAAACAUUCCAAUUAUAAUAUUAUCCCUCCCUCUACUUGUCAAUCCAACAACUCCUAAACCUACUAACCCAUUUUACCUUUCCUAUUUUCCUUUACUUGAAAAUUUCUCUUCUUCAGACUCCAGUUUUCUCCACAUCUCUAGGGAUAAAAGAUGAAAUUUACUAACUCCUAAAAAAAAAAAAAGGGGAGCUUAAGUCAUCUCUUGUCCACACCUUGGGAUUUUACAGACAAGAGUAGUGAGGACCCAAGAGGUUAGUUAAGUGACUUCACACACAGAGAGCAGGAUAACUGAAACUAAAAUACAGCCCCUGACUCAGAGUCCACUUCCCUCCCACUGAACACACCACUUUCACUUAAGAUACGACCGCUGGCUUAAAACAAACAAAAAAACCUCCAAAAUAGGAGCCAAUAAAAUUUAUUGCAACUAUUUAAAUAAUAAGAUUAUUCACCCAUUCUUGUGUAUCCAUCUGUUUUAAAAGCUGUAAAAUAACACCUAUACAAACUAUGGAGAGCCCACAGUUAACGUUCUCGGGAUUUGAGAUCCUAGCUCCUACAGCUGGGGUAGGGGGUGGUAAGGCAGGCAUGUGCUUUGAUAAUCCACUGUUAAGUACCGGAGCCACAUUAGGAAAAUACAGUCAUUCUAUAACCCAGACUGCUUUCUCUAGAUGACCUUCCAACAGAUCUCGACAGCAGCUCUCAGUGGGGAAAGGGAACUGGGGAUGGGAGAAGGAGCUGAAGAAGGAAAAGACAAUCAAGGUCUUCUGCUCUGCAGCUCAGCACCCCGCUCAACAACAGAGAAGCCAAAGUCAAACUAGCAGCACCUCCCUCAUAAAGGGGAGUCCCAGGCACCUCACUCCUUUACUCCAUGCCCUAAGCCAUCUCUCAGCCGAACUAUUCAAACGCUGUCUCAAUCCCUCUGCCACCCAACUCUCCAACGCGCCCUCCAUGCUGCCAUAGGAAUUACCUUCCAAAAAACAAACACAAAUCUAAUCCUCUCUCCUUUCACUUAAACCUGAAGGCCCAUCUCGUUACCUGAACAAAACGUUAAAGUGCCCCAACAUGGCAUUUAAGGUCAUCCCUUGUGAUCCAGCCUCACUCAAACUACCCUUCUAGUCUCAUCUCCCAUAAUCCUUCCCUCCCAGUAUCUCCAGUGUUCCUUCUACAUUCUGCUGGCUUUUCUGUAAAAACACUAUACUGACACUUCCAUUCCUCCAUUUCAAGUAGUGGUUCUCAAAUUUUGACCCCAAGGCACAUUUGGCACUGUCUGGAGACAAUUUUAGUUGUCACAACUGAGGGGAAGGAAUAUUACUGGUAUCUCAUAGGGACGGGCCAGAGAGCAAUAGGACAGCACCCCAAACAAAGAAUUAUCUGGCGCAAAGUAUUGUGGUUAAAAACCCUAAUCUCAA
ensembl:lncRNA